rnacentral:lncRNA from 1 species
AAAGCGCAACAAGAGGGGAGGACAAGUGCUGAUUCUACAGUUAACCCAAGUACUGGUUCAAAUCUAGUUCAACCAGGAAUAAACACAGUCACCGGAGGUUUAUGAAAUUGCAAUAACUGAAAUGAAAAAGAAGUUUAAAAAUUAUUUUUUUCCAAUCCCUCCUAUAUUUGGUGUGUCUGCUAUGUUAAAUCCAAAUAUGAAAUU